UCUGUAUCAUAUAAUUUUAAUGCAGCUACUACUCAGCCAUUGAGCUCCGUCCACUAAUACAUAGUAAUUGGAUUCGUCAAUUAGUAUACAACUUUCGUUAGGAUGCAUCUCCGAUUUACAGAUUAGACACUUUUGUAAGCAACGAGUGAGUGACUCCGUGCGAACGAAAUCGAAAUCUUUUUGUAAAUAAUUUUAAAGGUGUAUAAAAUCAGUAUUGCUAAAAUUUAAAUAUCGCGAUACCUCUUAAUGCUUCCAAUUGUACGUUAAAAAAUUAAAAUGUUAAAACAGU